rnacentral:rRNA from 1 species
UACGUAGGGUGCGAGCGUUAAUCGGAAUUACUGGGCGUAAAGCGUGCGCAGGCGGUUCUCCAAGUCCGUUGUGAAAGCCCACGGCUCAACCGUGGAGGGUCAUUGGAAACUGGGGGACUUGAGUGCAGGAGAGAAGAGUGGAAUUCCACGUGUAGCGGUGAAAUGCGUAGAUAUGCGGAGGAACACCGAUGGCGAAGGCAAUCCCCUGGGCCUGCACUGACGCUCAUGCACGAAAGCGUGGGGAGCAAACGGG